GUCGCGGGCCGGGCCCCUCUGGCGAUCUGUCGAUCGCGAUGUCGGACCGUUUGA
rfam:Mesorhizobium australicum strain B5P genome assembly, contig: Ga0048943_14